AGAUUAAGUUAUUAAGGGCGCACGGUGGAUGCCUUGGCACUAGAAGCCGAUGAAGGACGUUACUAACGACGAUAUGCUUUGGGGAGCUGUAAGUAAGCUUUGAUCCAGAGAUUUCCGAAUGGGGAAACCCAGCAUGAGUUAUGUCAUGUUAUCGAUAUGUGAAUACAUAGCAUAUCAGAAGGCACACCCGGAGAACUGAAACAUCUUAGUACCCGGAGGAAGAGAAAGAAAAUUCGAUUCCCUUAGUAGCGGCGAGCGAAACGGGAAGAGCCCAAACCAACAAGCUUGCUUGUUGGGGUUGUAGGACACUCUGUACGGAGUUACAAAGGACGACAUUAGACGAAUCAUCUGGAAAGAUGAAUCAAAGAAGGUAAUAAUCCUGUAGUCGAAAAUGUUGUCUCUCUUGAGUGGAUCCUGAGUACGACGGAGCACGUGAAAUUCCGUCGGAAUCUGGGAGGACCAUCUCCUAAGGCUAAAUACUCUCUAGUGACCGAUAGUGAACCAGUACCGUGAGGGAAAGGUGAAAAGCACCCCGGAAGGGGAGUGAAAUAGAACCUGAAACCGUGUGCUUACAAGUAGUCAGAGCCCGUUAAUGGGUGAUGGCGUGCCUUUUGUAGAAUGAACCGGCGAGUUACGAUUUGAUGCAAGGUUAAGCAGUAAAUGUGGAGCCGUAGCGAAAGCGAGUCUGAAU
rnacentral:rRNA from 1 species